rnacentral:rRNA from 1 species
AUGAAGGAGACAGGAACGCCGCUCAUAACCAUCAAGGACAUGCAACCUGAUGUCUUCAAGGCCCUACUCCAUUUCAUCUACACUGAUUCAUUGCAGAUCACGGAUGAUCUCGAGGGAAAUGACCGCGUUGAGAUGCUCCAGCACUUGCUCGUGGCUGCUGAUCGGUAUGAUAUGGAAAAGCUAAAACUGGUAUGUGAGAGAAUCCUUUGCGAUAAUCUUGAUGUGGAGAAUGUUGCAACUAUGCUGGCUUUAGCAGAUCAACAUCAUUGUGACAUUCUAAUUGAUGCUUGUGUUGAAUUUAUCUCCUCUCAGAAAAUUAUGGACUCUGUAGCGGCAACCAAGGGUAUGCGAAUCUGA